rnacentral:rRNA from 1 species
AGAGUUUGAUCCUGGCUCAGGACGAACGCUGGCGGCGUGCUUAACACAUGCAAGUCGAAGGCACUUGGGGGGCAACUCUCAAGUGACUGGCGAACGGGUGCGUAACACGUGAGCGAUCUACCCUGGUGUGGGGGAUAGCCGGCCCAACGGCCGGGUAAUACCGCAUGCGCUCUUCUGGAGGCAUCUCUGGGAGAACAAAGCCUUUGGGCGCACUGGGAGGAGCUCGCGGCCUAUCAGCUAGUUGGCGAGGUAAUGGCUCACCAAGGCGACGACGGGUAGCUGGUCUGAGAGGAUGGCCAGCCACAUUGGGACUGAGAGACGGCCCAGACUCCUACGGGAGGCAGCAGUGGGGAAUCUUGCGCAAUGGGCGAAAGCCUGACGCAGCGACGCCGCGUGCGGGAGGACGGCCUUCGGGUCGUAAACCGCUGUUGCCCGGGACGAAAAGCCCUUUCGAGGGCGUUGACGGUACCGGGUGAGGAAGCACCGGCUAACUCCGUGCCAGCAGCCGCGGUAAUACGGAGGGUGCGAGCGUUGUCCGGAAUCACUGGGCGUAAAGGGCGCGUAGGCGGCGCGACAAGGCGGCGGUGAAAGUCCGGGGCUCAACCCCGGAUCGGCCGUGGCGACUGUCGCGCUCGAGCACAGUAGAGGCGGGUGGAAUUCCGGGUGUAGCGGUGGAAUGCGUAGAGAUCCGGAAGAACACCGGUGGCGAAGGCGGCCGCUGGGCUGUGGCUGACGCUGAGGCGCGACAGCGUGGGGAGCAAACAGGAUUAGAUACCCCGGUAGUCC